AUCUUCGUUCCGCUCAAAUACUGGCAUCCAGGCCAACUUUGUGAGUGUUGGCCGUCCGCUUUUACCAUAUGCAUUUAGUGUCAUUUUCUAUAGCAAACCAAAAGGAAAUUGGCAGUUCAGGACCACACUGGUGUUUUUAAAAAACUAUUUCAAACCCAUUAACGUAGUGUUGAAAGUCUGAUUUUGGUCAGUUUCAAAGAUAGUCACGCAAAGUCGUCAAGGUUGGUUCGCAAUCGACGGAAACACGUCUUGGUUGUGUGCACCAGCCAAAAACUGUAGGUUGUUUGUUGGCUCGAAUGUUUGGCAUGAUUGGAAUUGGAAAAUUUUAGAUAUUUUUUUUUAGCUUAGCAACUUUUUUUAGCAGUUAGGAAUUGGCAGACAGAUGUCAGAAAAGUUGAAUCUGUUGCAUCUGUGCUAGGAUUGAUUAAUACCUUCAUUACUUUUUGUAGAGUAAAAAAACUCCAAUGGGACGGUUGCAAAAAAAAAAAAGGGGGCUAAAAAGAUGUGGUAAUCAUUUAGCACUAGCUCCAGACAAGGAGAAAAUCAACACAAAGCUUUGGACGAUGUCAGAACUUCUUCAAGUUAGACACGAUAGAGACGCCGACCACAGCGGCUGCCUGCAAGGGGACAAAACAAUUUCUAUAAAUAAAAAGAAAAACAGCUUAGGAGUACUGUAAUACAAAUGUGUAACUGGCUUAAAACAAGCAAAAAAACACCAGUACGGUCAACUCAGAAUUCUUGGCCAUGAAGUACAGUUCAAAUACUUUAAAGAAGGAAGGGUAAGAGGAAGCCAGGCUGCAAUACUUGUCCGGAAAGUAGCGUCUUUAGCUCUAAACACUUAACACUCUGAUAGCAGUGCAAAACAAAUCAGGAAGUUGUAAAAGUCAGAGAGACAGAAACUGGGACCCUCAAAAUCACCGAAGGGCAAAAUACGGUGAAAACAUUCCUAAAAUGUUGGUAAACGCUCUCUCUGCUCAGUCACUCACACGCACGCACGUAAAAACACGCCUUAUAUUUGCAUUAACACCUGCCUAUACAUCUUACAGUAACCUUUAUGUUUAAAGAACACAUAAUGGAUGACUGGGUUCACUGUGGUCACUGUUCUCCACUCCCCACUGUCUGAUGCCCGAUGUCCCUGUGAUAGCCCUUAUGAAGAUGAAGGAAAAGUCACUGUAGAAAAAGGUCAAGACCUUUGACCUCCCAAAAGAGUAUCUGUAUUUUACUGGAACUAAUCAAAGCAAGCCUCAAAAAGUGUAAA